UAAGUUUAAUGCAAAGAAUUAUUAGCUACAGUAGGAGAUUGCAAUAAGGAGGGAUUGGAUAGUAAGAAGUAAAGAGAAUGCUAAAGAAUACGAGAAAAGCAGAUAUAAGGAGGAGCCACUAUACUUAAAGUUGAGAUAGAGGACCCAAAGAAGAGGCCCCUCCCUCUCCAGGCUGAGAUCCUGACCUUAUUGGAGAGUGCACAGCCCUGCAGUUUGAGGAGAGUGUCAGAGGAAGCAGCUGUCCCCUGAAUGCUGUCUGUAUCACAGGAUCCUGGCAGUGGAGGUCAGCGGUUCUCAACCAUUUUUUCUGCCUCAACCCCAUCGGCAUCCACAAAGUAUAUGCACUAUCAUCAACAGUCUCUCUCAUGAAAUGAUUUGUAGUGGUGCAACGGCAUAGCAGAGACUGCAAGUUGUCUCUCAAAAGCCUCCCUUGCUGCGUCAUUCCCGCCCUCCCUUCCUUCCGUCCUCAGUAACAGAACACUCAGUGUUUAGCUGGGAAAUGGCUGUCCAAAAUGAAGACUAUAUUUUCCAGGCUUUCCUGCAGAAAGGCAUAAUGGGUGACUAAGUUCUGCACGAUGGGAUGUUAGUGUCCUUAAAAGUAGGAGCCAUUUCCUUCUUUCCUUUACAUUGACUGGAACAGAAUGUGAACAUAAUAAUGGUGCUCCAGCAGCCAUUUUUGACCAUAAGUGAACUUCCGAUGGGAUCCAUGCAUGGAUGGAGCGAAAAGAUAAAGACAGCCUGCAACACUAACACUGACCAGCCUUGCCCUGACCACCUCCAGGCUUCUUGACAAGAGGGAAAUAAACUUCUAUUUUGUUCAUAUCAGUGCUAUUUUCGGUUUCUUGUAGUGAAACUGAAUCCUAAUAAAGAGUUAUAUGAGAAUUUCCAGUUUGAGGGUUGUGAGGGUUGUGUGUAGUUCAUAGUUUGAAAAAAGCCUCUCGGGGCUGGCCCUGUGGCCGAGUGGUUAAGUUCACGCACUCCGCUGCAGGUGGCCCAGUGGGUGCGGACAUGGCACUGCUCAUCAAAUCACGCUGAGGCAGCGUCCCGCAUGCCACAACUAGAAGGACCCACAAUGAAGAAUAUACGACUAUGUACCGGGGGGGUCUUUGGGGAGAAAAAGGAAAAAAAUAAAUAAAUAAAAUAAAAUCUUUAAAAAAAAAAAGAAAAAAAGAAAAAAGCCUCUUAGAUAAAAAUCACUGAUACAGGUCUUGGGUUUUUUGGUUUUUUUUGCAUAUUUCUUUUUUCUUGUUCUGUUUUUAAUAUUUGUUUGCUGCUCCUGUGAACUGGA
rnacentral:lncRNA from 1 species